rnacentral:rRNA from 1 species
AGUGAACGCUGGCGGUAGACCUAACACAUGCAAGUCGAACGGCAGCACAGUAAGAGCUUGCUCUUACGGGUGGCGAGUGGCGGACGGGUGAGGAAUACAUCGGAAUCUACUUUUUCGUGGGGGAUAACGUAGGGAAACUUACGCUAAUACCGCAUACGACCUACGGGUGAAAGCAGGGGAUCUUCGGACCUUGCGCGACUGAAUGAGCCGAUGUCGGAUUAACUAGUUGGCGGGGUAAAGGCCCACCAAGGCGACGAUCCGUAGCUGGUCUGAGAGGAUGAUCAGCCACACUGGAACUGAGACACGGUCCAGACUCCUACGGGAGGCAGCAGUGGGGAAUAUUCGGCAAUGGGCGAAAGCCUGACGCAGCCAUGCCGCGUGAGUGAAGAAGGCCUUCGGAUUGAAAAGCCCUUUUGUUGGGAAAGAAAAGCAGCAGGUUAAUACCCCGCUGUUCUGACGGUACCCAAAGAAUAAGCACCGGCUAACUUCGUG